AGUACUACCUGGAGUACUGAUGUAGUAUUAGAAGGUUGGUAGCAGUACUACCUGGAGUACUGAUGUAGUAUUAGAAGGUUGGUAGUAGUACUACCUGGAGUACUGAUGUAGUAUUAGAAGGUUGGUAGUAGUACUACCUGGAGUACUGAUGUAGUAUUAGAAGGUUGGUAGCAGUACUACCUGGAGUACUGAUGUAGUAUUAGAAGGUUGGUAGUAGUACUACCUGGAGUACUGAUGUAGUAUUAGAAGGUUGGUAGUAGUACUACCUGGAGUACUGAUGUAGUAUUAGAAGGUUGGUAGUAGUACUACCUGGAGUACUGAUGUAGUAUUAGAAGGUUGGUAGUAGUACUACCUGGAGUACUGAUGUAGUAUUAGAAGGUUGGUAGUAGUACUACCUGGAGUACUGAUGUAGUAUUAGAAGGUUGGUAGUAGUACUACCUGGAGUACUGAUGUAGUAUUAGAAGGUUGGUAGUAG